rnacentral:rRNA from 1 species
UACGGAGGGAGCUAGCGUUGUUCGGAAUUACUGGGCGUAAAGCGCGCGUAGGCGGCCUUGCAAGUUAGAGGUGAAAGCCCGGAGCUCAACUCCGGAACUGCCUUUAAAACUGCAUAGCUUGAAUCCGGGAGAGGUGAGUGGAAUUCCGAGUGUAGAGGUGAAAUGCGCAGAUAUCAGGAGGAACACCAAUGGCGAAGGCAGCACUCUGGGACGGUACUGACGCUGAGACGCGAAAGCGUGGGGAGCAAACAGG